rnacentral:tRNA from 1 species
GUAGUGGCUCAGUGGUAGAGCACUUGCCUGGCAUGUGUGAGGCCCUGGGUUCAAUCCCCAGACCACA